UACGUAGGUGGCAAGCGUUUGUCCGGGAAUUAUUGGGCGUAAAGCGCGCGCAGGCGGUCUCUUAAGUCUGAUGUGAAAUCCCGUGGCUUAACCACGGGCGGUCAUUGGAAACUGGGGGACUUGAGUGCAGAAGAGAAGAGCGGAAUUCCACGUGUAGCGGUGAAAUGGCGUAGAGGAUGUGGAGGAACACCGGUGGCGAAGGCGGGUCUCUGGGCCAUAACUGACGCUGAGGAGCGAAAGCGUGGGGAGCGAACAGG
rnacentral:rRNA from 1 species